GACGAACGCUGGCGGCGCGCUUAACACAUGCAAGUCGAGCGAAGCGGCGGACGGGUGAGUAACACGUGAGUAACCUGCCUUAGACAUUGAGAUAGCCUCUGUAAACCGGGAUUAAUCCCAACUGGUCUAAGAUGGACUCGCGUCCCAUUAGCUAGUUGGUGAGGUAACGGCCCACCAAGGCGACGAUGGGUAGCCGGCGUGAGAGGGGGAACGGCCACAUGGGAACCGAGAAACGGACCAAACACUGCGGGAGGCAGCAGUGGGGAAUAUUGCACAAUGGAGGGAACUGUGAUGCAGCGACACCGCGUGAACGAAGAAGGCUUUCGAGUCGUAAAGUUCUUUUAUAUGGGAAGCGGUACCAUAAGAAAAAGCCCCGGCUAACUACGUGCCAGCAGCCGCGGUAAUUC
rnacentral:rRNA from 1 species